rnacentral:rRNA from 1 species
CGACCGGCAACGGUGCGGAACACGUACGCAACUUACCCAUAACUGGGGGAUAGCCCGGGGAAACCCGGAUUAAUACCCCGUAAGAUAAAGUGGUGGCAUCACUAUUUUAUUAUAGCUCCGGCGGUUAUGGAUGGGCGUGCGCCUGAUUAGGUAGUUGGUUGGGGUAAUGGCCCACCAAGCCUGCGAUCAGUAACUGGUGUGAGAGCACGACCAGUCACACGGGCACUGAGACACGGGCCCG